rnacentral:rRNA from 1 species
CACCGGCGGCUCGAGUGGUGGCCACUUUUAUUGGGUCUAAAGCGUCCGGAGCCGGCUUGGCAAGUCCCCUGGGAAAUCUGGCGGCUUAACCGUCAGGCGUCCAGAGGAUACUGCCAGGCUUGGGACCGGGAGAGGUGAGAGGUACCUCAGGGGUAGGGGUGAAAUCUUGUGAUCCCUGAGGGACCACCAGAGGCGAAGGCGUCUCACUAGAACGGGUCCGACGGUCAGGGACGAAAGCUGGGGGCACGAACCGG